AUGCAAGUCGAGUGCGCGUCCGUAGCAAUACGGAUGGCGCACGGCGCACGGGUGCGUAACACGUGGGCAAUCUGCCCUCGGAUGGGGGAUACCCCCGCGAAAGCGGGACUAAUACCGCAUGACAUUCCGAAGACCUCGGUCUUUGGAUUCAAAGCCCGCAAGGGCGUCUGAGGAGGAGCCCGCGCCCGAUUAGCUAGUUGGUGAGGUAACGGCUCACCAAGGCAAUGAUCGGUAGCCGGUCUGAGAGGAUGGCCGGCCACACUGGAACUGAGACACGGUCCAGACUCCUACGGGAGGCAGCAGUGGGGAAUAUUGCGCAAUGGGCGAAAGCCUGACGCAGCGACGCCGCGUGGGGGAUGAAGCUUCUCGGAGUGUAAACCCCUUUCGACCCGGAAGAAUGACCCGCAAGGGUUUGACGGUACGGGUAUAAGAAGCCCCGGCUAACUACGUGCCAGCAGCCGCGGUAAUACGUAGGGGGCCAGCGUUGCUCGGAAUUACUGGGCGUAAAGGGUUCGUAGGUGGUGCGGCAAGUUGGGAGUGAAAUCUCUGGGCUUAACUCAGAGGCUGCUUUCAAAACUGCCGUGCUCGAGUGCGAGAGAGGUCAGUGGAAUUGCAGGUGUAGCGGUGAAA
rnacentral:rRNA from 1 species